CCUACGGGCGGCAGCAGUGGGGAAUAUUGGACAAUGGGGGCAACCCUGAUCCAGCCAUGCCGCGUGUGUGAAGAAGGCCCUCGGGUUGUAAAGCACUUUCAGUGAGGAAGAACGCCUGGUGGUUAAUACCCAUCAGGAAAGACAUCACUCACAGAAGAAGCACCGGCUAACUCCGGGCCAGCAGCCGCGGUAAUACGGAGGGUGCGAGCGUUAAUCGGAAUUACUGGGCGUAAAGCGCGCGUAGGUGGCUUGAUAAGCCGGUUGUGAAAGCCCCGGGCUCAACCUGGGAACGGCAUCCGGAACUGUCAAGCUAGAGCGCAGGAGAGGAAGGUAGAAUUCCCGGUGUAGAGGUGAAAUGCGUAGAGAUCGGGAGGAAUACCAGUGGCGAAGGCGGCCUUCUGGACUGACACUGACACUGAGGUGCGAAAGCGUGGGUAGCAAACAGGAUUAGAUACCCCAGUAGUC
rnacentral:rRNA from 1 species